ACGACCACCUUUGAAACACAACUGAAACGCAACUCACGGCUGCGCUGACAAGGGCAUUCACCUCUUUAUUAGUAAACCCAUUUUAUUUUUUGGUGGAUGAAAACAUUGUGUCAAUAUGCUAUGUCUAUGUUCGCCUUAUUCACCCGGAACGUUCUAAAGACGUUGAGGGGUACACUUCAGGGGUACAUUCGGCAACGCACCAGCUGUCAUGCCGCCUCACUUUUGUGUGCCCAAAUGUUCGUCCUCAAAGAGAAAAAAAUCCUACCGUGGACAGACUUUCCACCGUUUCCCCAAAGAGCAGGCACUUCGCCGUGAAUGUAUAAAUCACAUCAAGAGGGAUCCUGGUCCAUAUUUCAAGGUAAGAUGCAAAAUUAUGUUCAAUCAUACGCAUUAGCUAGCACAAAUAAGCUAGCUCGCCAAACUUGUCAUGACUCAUGUAGCCUAAUGACGCGAAUGCCUCGGUGAAAUAAAAAAAAAAUAUGAAUGUGUAAUUACACAACGCUACAUUUAUAUGAUAUUUCCAGAUCGCUAUUUUCAAGAUUAGGCUUUUAAUUGUGUGGUAAGCGAUCCGAUGGCCAUUGAUUUUGUGCUACCAGAACCAGUAGCAUAGGCCUACUUGAUUCCCUGAUUGUCGCUCCCAACGCAGGACGCUCCCCGGUCAGCUCGCUCCCACUAGCCAGACUAUCGAUCCCACCGCCAUAUAACGGAGCUAGUUAUCUUUUUGAUGUUAGUUUUUUGUUUCUAACCCUAACCCUAAACCUAACUCUAAACCUAACCCUAACCCUAAAUGGCUUGUAUGUGGCAGUGUAUGAUAAUACGUGAAAUAUAAUCGGGUGGGACUACACGUCCGGGAGUGAUAGAAACACCUGGGACUACACGUCCGGGAGCGAUCUCAGUUGGGAGUGUCCAUCUACCUCCCGGCCUACUUGUGCCAAAAUCAAGUUGUUUUGCUAACGAACUAAAAUGCAUACCCUGGUAUUUAUGGUUACAGAUCAACGCUGAGACCAAGGUUUGCUCUGAGCACUUUGAGAAGCAGUGUUUUGUAAAGACCGCCCGUGGUAUCACAAAGCUUAUAAGGAUGCCGUGCCACUUUGUUCGCCUGGACUUCAGAGAGGCCAAAGAGGAGAAUCAUCAUUCGCAGACCGAGAGAUGAUGACCCAUUCCUGAAGUUGGACGCCAGAAUGCAGGAAGGUGCUGUUUAAGAGCCUAGGCGGUGGAAGAAGCACUUGCAGGUAUGCUACCGACCAGGCUCCUCAACAUCAAUCCGAGACGGAAGAUGAACCGGGAUGAAGCAGUUAGAUUGAGACAAGGCGGCCGGAAACUUUGAUGACCUCAAUGACACUGGCUAGGUGAAGGACAUCAAGAAAAUGGCAUCCGGUCACCAGACAUCAGCUCAUAAGCCACAACGCCAUCAACCAUUUUGCGCCAAAAAUGAAGCCGUUCACAUACCAUGGCAUCCUAAGCAGGCAGCACCACACUACUGUGCAACAGUGAGAGAGAGCGGGCAAGGACAAGUAAAACGGACCUACACUACAGCAAGACUUUGACACUUCUCCACGUGAGAGGCAGCCAUCG